rnacentral:rRNA from 1 species
GACGAACGCUGGCGGCGUGCUUAACACAUGCAAGUCGAACGGACAGACCCGGCUCUUGUGGGGUGCUCGAGUGGCGAACGGGGGAGUAACACGUGAGUAACCUGCCCUUGACUUUGGGAUAACUUCUGGAAACUGCGGCUCAUACCGGAGAGGAGCUCCUGCUGCAUGGUGGUGGUUGGAGAGUGUCGGCGGUAGGGGAUGGACUCGCGGCUUAUGCGCUUCUUUGUCGGGUAGUGGCGUACCAAGGCUUUGACGGGUAGGCGGCAUGAGAGGGUGACCGGGCACAUUGGGACUGAGAGACGGCCCAGAAUCCAACGGGACGCAGCAGGGGAGAAUAUUGCAGAAUGGGCGGAAGCCUGAUGUAGCAGCGCCGCGUGCGGGAUGACGGCCUUCGGGUGGUAAACCGCUUUGGCCUGUGAUGAAGCGGGAGUGACGGUAAUGGGUAAGGAAGCACCGGCUAACUACGUG